UACGGAGGGAGCUAGCGUUGUUCGGAAUUACUGGGCGUAAAGCGCACGUAGGCGGCUUUGUAAGUUAGAGGUGAAAGCCUGGAGCUCAACUCCAGAACUGCCUUUAAGACUGCAUCGCUUGAAUCCAGGAGAGGUGAGUGGAAUUCCCAGUGUAGAGGUGAAAUUCGUAGAUAUUGGGAAGAACACCAGUGGCGAAGGCGGCUCACUGGACUGGUAUUGACGCUGAGGUGCGAAAGCGUGGGGAGCAAACAGGG
rnacentral:rRNA from 1 species